CAAGGAAGUGAUGUCAUUGAUGCAGACCAAGUGAGGAUGUACCUGAAGUAGAUUAUGGGAUUGAUGCAGACCAAGAGGCGCAAGGUUACUCAUCCCACUUAAGCAUAUGCCACUAUGGAGCUUGUGAAGGCAUUAGUGCGGAAAGCCAUGCCAUCACUCAGCAAUGAUCUGAUGGACUCACUCAUGGAUAGACUGGAGGUGAUUGGAGUAAGCAGUGUAGGUGACCUUAACUUUGUCAAGACAGAGGACGUCGAUGGAAUUCUGCCACCCAUUCAGUGUAGAAGAUUAAUUCAAGCAUUCAGUGCUGAGUCACUAGGUGUACAUCGCCCUACUCUUCUGCCACAGAACAUCCAUCUACCCCAAACACAAUCUCCGACAGCUGGUCCAUGGAGUAUUCCCCAUCCUGUGAGCAUAUGCUGUA